rnacentral:rRNA from 1 species
AUUGAACGCUGGCGGCAUGCCUUACACAUGCAAGUCGAACGGCAGCACGGGAGCAAUCCUGGUGGCGAGUGGCGAACGGGUGAGUAAAGUAUCGGAACGUGCCCAGUCGUGGGGGAUAACGUAGCGAAAGUUACGCUAAUACCGCAUACGAUCUAUGGAUGAAAGCGGGGGAUCGCAAGACCUCGCGCGAUUGGAGCGGCCGAUAUCAGAUUAGGUAGUUGGUGGGGUAAAGGCUCACCAAGCCGACGAUCUGUAGCUGGUCUGAGAGGACGACCAGCCACACUGGGACUGAGACACGGCCCAGACUCCUACGGGAGGCAGCAGUGGGGAAUUUUGGACAAUGGGCGCAAGCCUGAUCCAGCCAUGCCGCGUGCAGGAUGAAGGCCUUCGGGUUGUAAACUGCUUUUGUACGGAACGAAAAGGUUUGGCUUAAUACGUUGAACUCAUGACGGUACCGUAAGAAUAAGCACCGGCUAACUACGUGCCAGCCGCCGCCUAA